GUCGCAGUAGUUACAACUGAUAGAACGGCGGACUUUUAAUCCGUGCGAUGGUGGUUUGAACCCACCCUGCGACA
rnacentral:tRNA from 1 species